rnacentral:rRNA from 1 species
GACGAACCGUGCGAACGUUGUUCGGGAUCACUGGGCUUAAAGGGCGCGUAGGCGGGCUCACAAGUCAGGGGUGAAAUCCCACGGCUCAACCGUGGAAGUGCCUUUGAUACUGUGGGUCUUGAGGGAGGUAGGGGCGUGCGGAACUUCCGGUGGAGCGGUGAAAUGCGUAGAUAUCGGAAGGAACACCGGUGGCGAAAGCGGCGCGCUGGACCUCUUCUGACGCUGAGGCGCGAAAGCCAGGGGAGCAAACGGG